ensembl:lncRNA
CAGAACUUGGGGAGCUACCCCACGUCCGAGGUCAGGGGUGGUGGCCAAGAAGAGCAACCCCACGUCCAAGGAGAGGUGGCUGCACGGGCGCAGGACGACCGAGAGGAGCUACUCCACAUUCAGGGUCAGGAGGGGUGACAUCGUCCAACGUAAGGAGCAGCGGCUGUGCUUUGAUGUAGCAGCUGUGAAGAGAUACCCUACAUCCAAGGCGGUUGAGUGGUCUUUCCCUGGCUCCAGUGUGGAACGGAGUGAUAUUGACCUGUAUGGUAUGAGCACAACGGAACUCCAGAAGUUAAAAUCCUUGAUAAGAAAAAGGAUGACCCUGGAGCACAAAAUGGGACAAGCCAAAGGAUAAGUUCUGAGUCAUUCUACUCGAGUAACCUACAACAUGUGGUCUCUGGAAGACUCCUCUGUACACUCAGCAAAGAAUGAGGAUGAAAAAGGCAAACAACAUCUUUGUGUGACAAAACCGACUUUGACCCUGAGGAUCCUAGAAAGGGUCUUGAGGACUUCUCUGGGCUGUACUGAGAACAGCUGCCCUAGUCACAUUUUACAUAUAAGAAAGUUGAAUCUCCAGAGAGAUCAACUGAGAUCCAAAAUGGUAAGGCCUGUUAACAAUGGGAUACAGAUCCUGGAUGGUUUGUCUCACUUCCCUAGGUUUAGGUUCCCAAUCAGAAAUACACCCUAAUGACCUGUCCUGCCUGCUGUAGUUGCAGGAACUGCCAAAAUAUAUUAACAACAACAACUAAUUGUUUUAAAUAAAACAGAAGAGGAAAACCAACACAGGUGAUGAAUUCUGCAAUGGAGUACUGUGUUAGCACUUGAAUGAGGAUUCUACUAGAACUGAAACACUAAGACAAACUCUGUUGCACUCUCCUCCACACGCACUGACAGCACAGUCAAUACCACAGAGAAAUACAGAAAGCAGAAUUACCAUUUACAACAUCACCAAUUAUCACAUUUUGUGAAUCUGAGACGCAAUUCAUGACAGUCUGAAAAAUUUUUACAAGUACUGAAUGAAAAGGUAUUGGGUAUAUUGAGACUUCAAAUAAACUGGCCAUCA